ensembl:lncRNA novel transcript, antisense to CBLN1
CCCCCACUCGUCGGCCCUCAGCUCAGAGACCUAAUAGGAUGGGGUCUUAGAGAAACAUCUUUUGAGCCACAGACUUCUUUGUUACCAGAAGGAAAAUGAAAGAAGAAAUUUAAAUACCACUUGAAGAGAGAGAGUGUGAAGAAAUGACCCUGAAAAGCCUCUGGCAGAGGAUUCUUCUUUCAGGAUGGUGUCGCCUCCUCAGCAGCCCAUCCUCCUCCCCUGGACUCAAGCUCUCAUUCCAGUAACACUCCUUCCUCCUUCUCCAUCUUCAGGGGGAGGUUUGCCAGUCGGUGCUGCCCAGUUCAUGAGUGCUGCUGCUGUCCUGCCCAAGUACCCAGCUUGCAGAGUGCCAGAGUUAGAGUCCCAGGGGUGUUCUCCACAGCUGCAUGCUUGAUCCAGGCCUAUCAGGUGUUAUUUGUUGACGGAACCAGGCAUCAUCAGCAAACAAAACUGACAAAGCUUCCUGCCCUCUGUGGAAGGCAUCUGAGGAAGAGACUGGAUUUUGUAGCAACAUGUUAUUCUCAUUAUAAACUUUAUCAUUGGAAUACUAAAGCCAAAUCAUCCCCCAUCUCCUUGAUCAGGAUACCCACUUAAUCUAGGCAGCUACACAAUUGUGAGAGCCUUUGUUUUUUUCUGCUGAAACAUCCUUAAAAAGAUACCUCACAACCCAAGAUUUGGCUUUUCUUAAAUACGAUUUUUAAUUUUUUUCAUUUCUAUCUAGAGAUUUAAUUGGAAAUGGAAAAUCAUCAAUUUUCCAAUUAAAUGUCUGUUCCAAUCAACAUUAUACCUUUUAGGUUGUCAUUGUCAUUUUUAAGUUUAAGCAACUUUAAGGAUUUUGAAUCUGGCUGCCUGUAAAUUAAAGGUGAAAGUAAUCAUUGUGUUGGAUUGGAACAUUUUGUCAAUUGAGAGUGGUUUCCUUGUUCUUAGUGUAUGAAA